AGUGAACGCUGGCGGUAGGCCUAACACAUGCAAGUCGAACGGCAGCACAGGAGAGCUUGCUCUCUGGGUGGCGAGUGGCGGACGGGUGAGGAAUACAUCGGAAUCUACUUUUUCGUGGGGGAUAACGUAGGGAAACUUACGCUAAUACCGCAUACGACCUACGGGUGAAAGCAGGGGACCUUCGGGCCUUGCGCGAUUGAAUGAGCCGAUGUCGGAUUAGCUAGUUGGCGGGGUAAAGGCCCACCAAGGCGACGAUCCGUAGCUGGUCUGAGAGGAUGAUCAGCCACACUGGAACUGGGACACGGGCCAGACUCCUACGGGAGGCAGCAGUGGGGAAUAUUGGACAAUGGGCGCAAGCCUGAUCCAGCCAUACCGCGUGGGUGAAAAAGGCCUUCGGGUUGUAAAGCCCUUUUGUUGGGAAAGAAAUCCAGCUGGCUAAUACCCGGUUGGGAUGACGGUACCCAAAGAAUAAGCACCGGCUAACUUCGUGCCAGCCGCCGCCGUAA
rnacentral:rRNA from 1 species